CUUUUUAUAUUUUUAAAGGAAUUUUUAAAGUAUAUUAAAUUGCGUUAUGUUUUUUUUUUUUGUUGUUGUAUGGUGAAAACUAUGUUCAAUGUGCAAACAAUAUUUUAGUUUAUCAAAAUAUAUUUUUUAUGAUGUGUUCUUUCUCUGAUUCUUUCUUUUUCAGAUGUACACUUGUGUCUAAGGCUUAUGCUUAGCAAAAGGUUCACCAUUGUACAUAGGUUGCUGUGGGUUUUACUUCCAACAUGGCAUAUGCACUUAGUAUCUGAAUUUAUUUGUCAAUAACUGGUGAUCAGACUAUUUCAAUCGAACACGUUUUUAAAGGCUGAGAAGGUGAAAGUUAGAAGUCUGCAGACUGCAACGUAAGUCAAUUUUCAAAACAUGAUUUCCUGAAUAAAUUUAGUUUUCGAUUGAAAUGAGAAUAAACUGAACUUAUAGAUAUGUUGAAAAAUAACUAUUUUAUAUUUUAAACGUUCGCUAGACGCAAGUGAAGCAAUAAUCUAUAGAUACAAAUAUACUUUAUAUUUUGCUUUAGUUUAAAAACAGUUAUUGUU